rnacentral:rRNA from 1 species
UACGUAGGGGGCUAGCGUUGUCCGGAAUCAUUGGGCGUAAAGCGCGCGUAGGCGGUCAGGUAAGUCCGGUGUGAAAGUCAAAGGCUCAACCUUUGAAUGCCGCUGGAUACUGCUUGACUUGAGUCCGGAAGGGGCGAGUGGAAUUCCCGGUGUAGUGGUGAAAUGCGUAGAGAUCGGGAGGAACACCCGUGGCGAAGGCGGCCUGCUGGGCCGAUCCUGACGCUGAGGCGCGAAGGCGUGGGGAGCGAACGGG